UACGAGGGGUGCAAGCGUUACUCGGAAUUACUGGGCGUAAAGGGUGCGUAGGUGGUUUGUUAAGUCUGCUGUGAAAUCCCCGGGCUCAACCUGGGAAUGGCAGUGGAUACUGGCAAGCUAGAGUGCGGUAGAGGGUAGUGGAAUUCCCGGUGUAGCAGUGAAAUGCGUAGAGAUCGGGAGGAACACCAGUGGCGAAGGCGGCUACCCGGACCAGCACUGACACUGAAGCACGAAAGCGUGGGGAGCAAACAGG
rnacentral:rRNA from 1 species